rnacentral:tRNA from 1 species
AAAGUUAUAGGUUAAAUGUAAAAAACCAUUGGCCUUCAAAGCCAGCAAUGAGGUAUUCUAACUUUG